AACAGUUUAGCUUAAAGGUAGAGCACUCUAACUGGAUAUUAGAGGGCUGUGAGUUCAAUUCUCAUGGCUGGUU
rnacentral:tRNA from 1 species